rnacentral:rRNA from 1 species
CUGACUGACCGAUAGUGAACCAGUACCGUGAGGGAAAGGCGAAAAGAACCCCGGCGAGGGGAGUGAAAAAGAACCUGAAACCGUGUACGUACAAGCAGUGGGAGCACGCUUAGGCGUGUGACUGCGUACCUUUUGUAUAAUGGGUCAGCGACUUAUAUUCUGUAGCAAGGUUAACCGAAUAGGGGAGCCGAAGGGAAACCGAGUCUUAACUGGGCGUUAAGUUGCAGGGUAUAGACCCGAAACCCGGUGAUCUAGCCAUGGGCAGGUUGAAGGUUGGGUAACACUAACUGGAGGACCGAACCGACUAAUGUUGAAAAAUUAGCGGAUGACUUGUGGCUGGGGGUGAAAGGCCAAUCAAACCGGGAGAUAGCUGGUUCUCCCCGAAAGCUAUUUAGGUAGCGCCUCGUGAAUUCAUCUCCGGGGGUAGAGCACUGUUUCGGCAAGGGGGUCAUCCCGACUUACCAACCCGAUGCAAACUGCGAAUACCGGAGAAUGUUAUCACGGGAGACACACGGCGGGUGCUAACGUCCGUCGUGAAGAGGGAAACAACCCAGACCGCCAGCUAAGGUCCCAAAGUCAUGGUUAAGUGGGAAACGAUGUGGGAAGGCCCAGACAGCCAGGAUGUUGGCUUAGAAGCAGCCAUCAUUUAAAGAAAGCGUAAUAGCUCACUGGUCGAGUCGGCCUGCGCGGAAGAUGUAACGGGGCUAAACCAUGCACCGAAGCUGCGGCAGCGACGCUUAUGCGUUGUUGGGUAGGGGAGCGUUCUGUAAGCCUGUGAAGGUGUGCUGUGAGGUAUGCUGGAGGUAUCAGAAGUGCGAAUGCUGACAUAAGUAACGAUAAAGCGGGUGAAAAGCCCGCUCGCCGGAAGACCAAGGGUUCCUGUCCAACGUUAAUCGGGGCAGGGUGAGUCGACCCCUAAGGCGAGGCCGAAAGGCGUAGUCGAUGGGAAACAGGUUAAUAUUCCUGUACUUGGUGUUACUGCGAAGGGGGGACGGAGAAGGCUAUGUUGGCCGGGCGACGGUUGUCCCGGUUUAAGCGUGUAGGCUGGUUUUCCAGGCAAAUCCGGAAAAUCAAGGCCGAGGCGUGAUGACGAGGCACUACGGUGCUGAAGCAACAAAUGCCCUGCUUCCAGGAAAAGCCUCUAAGCAUCAGGUAACAUCAAAUCGUACCCCAAACCGACACAGGUGGUCAGGUAGAGAAUACCAAGGCGCUUGAGAGAACUCGGGUGAAGGAACUAGGCAAAAUGGUGCCGUAACUUCGGGAGAAGGCACGCUGAUACGUAGGUGAAGCGACUUGCUCGUGGAGCUGAAAUCAGUCGAAGAUACCAGCUGGCUGCAACUGUUUAUUAAAAACACAGCACUGUGCAAACACGAAAGUGGACGUAUACGGUGUGACGCCUGCCCGGUGCCGGAAGGUUAAUUGAUGGGGUUAGCGCAAGCGAAGCUCUUGAUCGAAGCCCCGGUAAACGGCGGCCGUAACUAUAACGGUCCUAAGGUAGCGAAAUUCCUUGUCGGGUAAGUUCCGACCUGCACGAAUGGCGUAAUGAUGGCCAGGCUGUCUCCACCCGAGACUCAGUGAAAUUGAACUCGCUGUGAAGAUGCAGUGUACCCGCGGCAAGACGGAAAGACCCCGUGAACCUUUACUAUAGCUUGACACUGAACAUUGAGCCUUGAUGUGUAGGAUAGGUGGGAGGCUUUGAAGUGUGGACGCCAGUCUGCAUGGAGCCGACCUUGAAAUACCACCCUUUAAUGUUUGAUGUUCUAACGUGGACCCGUGAUCCGGGUUGCGGACAGUGUCUGGUGGGUAGUUUGACUGGGGCGGUCUCCUCCUAAAGAGUAACGGAGGAGCACGAAGGUUGGCUAAUCCUGGUCGGACAUCAGGAGGUUAGUGCAAUGGCAUAAGCCAGCUUGACUGCGAGCGUGACGGCGCGAGCAGGUGCGAAAGCAGGUCAUAGUGAUCCGGUGGUUCUGAAUGGAAGGGCCAUCGCUCAACGGAUAAAAGGUACUCCGGGGAUAACAGGCUGAUACCGCCCAAGAGUUCAUAUCGACGGCGGUGUUUGGCACCUCGAUGUCGGCUCAUCACAUCCUGGGGCUGAAGUAGGUCCCAAGGGUAUGGCUGUUCGCCAUUUAAAGUGGUACGCGAGCUGGGUUUAGAACGUCGUGAGACAGUUCGGUCCCUAUCUGCCGUGGGCGCUGGAGAACUGAGGGGGGCUGCUCCUAGUACGAGAGGACCGGAGUGGACGCAUCACUGGUGUUCGGGUUGUCAUGCCAAUGGCACUGCCCGGUAGCUAAAUGCGGAAGAGAUAAGUGCUGAAAGCAUCUAAGCACGAAACUUGCCCCGAGAUGAGUUCUCCCUGACCCUUUAAGGGUCCUGAAGGAACGUUGAAGACGACGACGUUGAUAGGCCGGGUGUGUAAGCGCAGCGAUGCGUUGAGCUAACCGGUACUAAUGAACCGUGAGGCUUAACCUUACAA